AGGAGGAACUGGUGGAGAACAAUGACAAUCUGAGAGCAUAAAUACUGAGGUAGGGGAAUGGACCAAUGAACCAGGGGAACUAAUCAAGAAGAGUAUGAGGCAGCUGGUGAGGGGGAGACUGCAGGGAACUGAGGGAGAGGGACUAAUUGACAAGAUGAGCAGGGAGGUAACAGAAAAACAUCUAAAUGAACUGAAUAAAGUAAACAAUGAGAAUGCAAACAGAACAUAAACAGAGAGGAACCAGAACUAUAUAAGGAAAUAUAAACUAACAUAUCUAGCACAGGAAUCUAGGGAAGUAACAAAAACUAAACAGAAUGAAUCUAAUAAACCUGAAUGAACUCAAUUAAAGCAAGUGGAGAACAUGGCAGUGCAGAGAAAGUAAACAGAACACAAACUCCAAACCCCAAACAAUGUUAGAUUAUGACAUAAAGUACAACAUUUAGUCAGAACUGAAACUGUUUCACUUUUGCUGUUAUGAUUUUCACACAGAUGUAAAACAUUUAUUUUUAUGUAAACAGUUUAAAACAGUUCUUUAUCUCUUUGAUUCUUUGUCUCUGUUUUCCCUUUCUGUAUUUCAGAGAGACCUGGAGAUUAUGGUGCUGUCAGACAAAAACAUCUUGAAAAGAUCCCACUGUUUGCUGCUAUGGGGAGAGGGCACAUUCCAUAUGAGGUGGAGGUGAACAGCUCACAGCUGCAUCGCUAAGAAGAGCCUGCUGUCAGCACUUCGAUGCCUGAGUGUUAAAAUGCAGUGGUUGUUCCCGGAUCCUGGAUCCAGUUCCAGUUUGUUCCUUGGUUUCGAGACACCUCCAAACCUUCAAGUUGAGUUCUCCAGACAAUGCUCCAGCUGGCAGCUUCCUGGCUCCUCGUUCCCUCGGCUUCUUCGAC